rnacentral:rRNA from 1 species
AUUGAACGCUGGCGGCAUGCCUAACACACGCAAGUCGAACGGGGCAGCAAUGCCUAGUGGCGGACGGGUGAGGAAUACGUAGGAAUCUGCCCUUAAGUGGGGGAUAACCAGGGGAAACCCUGACUAAUACCGCAUGAUCUCUUCGGAGCAAAGAGGGGGACCGCAAGGCCUCUCGCUUCUGGAGGAGCCUACGUCUGAUUAGCUAGUUGGUAGGGUAAAGGCCUACCAAGGCGACGAUCAGUAGCUGGUCUGAGAGGAUGAUCAGUCACACCGGAACUGAGACACGGUCCGGACUCCUACGGGAGGCAGCAGUGGGGAAUAUUGGACAAUGGGCGCAAGCCUGGUCCAGCAAUGCCGCGUGUGUGAAGAAGGCCUUCGGGUUGUAAAGCACUUUAGCCUGGAAAGAAAAAACUUUGGUUAACACCCAAAGUCUUGACGGUACCAGGAGAAUAAGCACCGGCUAACUCUGUGCCAGCAGCCGCGGUAAGAC